AAAGACUUAGUCCCAACCUUACCGUUAAUUUCUGCCAAAUACAUACAUGCAAGCAUCCGCACCCCAGUGUAAAUGCCCAUCUACCCUGCCAGAGGUAGAAGGAGCAGGCAUCAGGCACACACCUACCCCUCCCUCCCCGUAGCCCAAAACGCCUUGCACUAGCCACACCCUCACGGGCACUCAGCAGUAGUUAACAUUAAGCAAUAAGCGUAAGCUUGACUUAGUUACGGCAACACCCCUUCUCCUAGGGUCGGUAAAUCUUGUGCCAGCCACCGCGGUCACACAAGAGACCCAAAUUAACCGUACACGGCGUAAAGAGUGGGACCACAGUAUCCCCCAAACUAGGGUCAAAAUGCAACUAAGCUGUCAUAAGCCCAAGAUGCACUAAAAACCACCCUUAAAACGACCCCAGCCCUGCCACGAUAAACAACUCCCCACGAAAGCCGGGAUCCAAACUGGGAUUAGAUACCCCACUAUGCCCGGCCCUAAAUCCUGAUAUUCAUCACCACUAGAACAUCCGCCAGGGUACUACGAGCACAAACGCUUAAAACCCUAAGGACUUGGCGGUGCCCCAAACCCACCUAGAGGAGCCUGUCCUGUAAUCGACAACCCACGAUACACCCAACCACCCCUUGCCAAACAGCCUACAUACCGCCGUCGUCAGCCUACCUUUUGAAAGUGCAGUAGUGGGCACAACAGCCUCACCCCCCCGCUAAAAAGACAGGUCAAGGUAUAGCCUAUGGGGUGGGAGAGAUGGGCUACACUCUCUGCCAGCAGAGAAUCUACGGAAGAGGGUGUGAAACCCCCACCCUCAGAAGGCGGAUUUAGCAGUAAAGAUGGGACCAUGACACCCUCUUUAAAAUGGCCCUGGGACACGUACAUACCGCCCGUCACCCUCCUCACAAGCCACAACCCUAUAAAACCUAUACCACCACCCAGGCUAAAGAUGAGGUAAGUCGUAACAAGGUAAGUGUACCGGAAGGUGCACUUAGCAUAC
rnacentral:ncRNA from 1 species